rnacentral:rRNA from 1 species
GGGGAAUAUUGGACAAUGGGCGGAAGCCUGAUCCAGCAACGCCGCGUGAGGGAUGACGGCCUUCGGGUUGUAAACCUCUUUCGCCUGUGACGAAGCGCAAGUGACGGUAACAGGUAAAGAAGCACCGGCCAACUACGUGCCAGCAGCCGCGGUAAUACGUAGGGUGCGAGCGUUGUCCGGAAUUAUUGGGCGUAAAGGGCUCGUAGGCGGUUUGUCGCGUCGGGAGUGAAAACCAGGUGCUUAACACCUGGCUUGCUUUCGAUACGGGCAGACUAGAGGUAUUCAGGGGAGAACGGAAUUCCUGGUGUAGCGGUGAAAUGCGCAGAUAUCAGGAGGAACACCGGUGGCGAAGGCGGUUCUCUGGGAAUGACCUGACGCUGAGGAGCGAAAGUGUGGGGAGCGAAC